rnacentral:rRNA from 1 species
AUACGUAGGGUGCAAGCGUUAAUCGGAAUUACUGGGCGUAAAGCGUGCGCAGGCGGUUUUGUAAGACAGUGGUGAAAUCCCCGGGCUCAACCUGGGAAAUGCCAUUGUGACUGCAAGGCUGGAGGGCGGCCGAGGGGGAUGGAAUUCCGCGGGUAGCAGGGAAAUGCGUAGAUAUGCGGAGGAACACCGAUGGCGAAGGCAAUCCCCUGGGCCUGCACUGACGCUCAUGCACGAAAGCGUGGGGAGCAAACAGGAUUAGAUACCCUGGUAGUCCACGCCCUAAACGAUGUCAACUGGUUGUUGGGGAUUUAUUUUCUCAGUAACGAAGCUAACGCGUGAAGUUGACCGCCUGGGGAGUACGGCCGCAAGGUUAAAACUCAAAUGAAUUGACGGGG